GACGUAGGGCGCGAGCGUUGUCCGGAUUUAUUGGGCGUAAAGAGCUCGUAGGCGGCUUGUCGCGUCGACUGUGAAAACUCGGGGCUCAACUCCGAGCUUGCAGUCGAUACGGGCAGGCUAGAGUUCGGUAGGGGAGACUGGAAUUCCUGGUGUAGCGGUGAAAUGCGCAGAUAUCAGGAGGAACACCGGUGGCGAAGGCGGGUCUCUGGGCCGUAACUGACGCUGAGGAGCGAAAGCAUGGGGAGCGAACAGG
rnacentral:rRNA from 1 species